UACGGGGGGAGCAAGCGUUGUUCGGAUUUACUGGGCGUAAAGGGCGGGUAGGCGGCCACCGCAAGUCAGUUGUGAAAUCUCCGGGCUUAACCCGGAGCGGCCAAGUGAUACUGUUGUGCUAGAGUGCGGAAGGGGCUACUGGAAUUCUCGGUGUAGCGGUGAAAUGCGUAGAUAUCGAGAGGAACACCUGCGGCGAAGGCGGGUAGCUGGGCCGACACUGACGCUGAGGCGCGAAAGCCAGGGGAGCGAACGGG
rnacentral:rRNA from 1 species